rnacentral:lncRNA from 1 species
GGGAGGCUGAGGCAGGAGAAUCGCUUGAAACCGGGAGGUGGAAAGAGGUUGCGGUGAGCCGAGAUCGUGCCAUUGUACUCCAGCCUGGGUGACAAGAGCAAAACUCCAUCUUAAAAACAAAAAAACCUCUCCAGAUGCCCGCUUCUCUUCCUCUUCACAGCUGCAUUCUGAGAGUUGCCUACUUUUAAUUCUCUCCCACCUUUCUCUCUGCCUUCUCACCCCAGUCUAUGCUGAUUUCUUUCCCCUGCUACUCCAUUGACUCGGUUCUUACCAAGGUCUUUAAUGCUCUCCCUCCUCUACAUCCAUGGGAAACUUCUCCACUGUGAUCUUACUUUAUUUCGGCAGCCUGCAUACCCAUGGCCACUCGCCCCUUGGGAUUCUCCUUUUGGCCUCUGUGACACAUGACCCUGUAAUUUUCUUGGUUUUCUUCUUACCUGUUUGGUUGGGCCUUCUCAGUCUCCUUCAUAGAUUCCCCUUCUUGAACAAUUAAACUGCCCCCAGAGUUUGUGCUUAGGCUGUCUUCAUUCCCAGCUAAUUUUUAUAUUUUUAGUAGAGACGGGGUUUCACCAUGUUGGUCAGCCUGGUCUCGAACUCCUCAUCUCAAGUGAUCCACCCACAUUGGCUUCCCGAAGUGCUGGGAUUAGAGGCAUGAGCCACCGCGCCCGGCAUUCUCUUCUUUUCUUACGCUAUGCAACCACCUGAGAUUAUCCUCAUCCAUUCCCUUGCCUUCAACCACCACCUACAACCUAAUGACUCUCAAAUCUAUGUCUCUAGUCCAGACCCUUCUCCUGAGACACAAGCACAUAUGUCCAGCUGCCUUCUGGACAUCUCUACUUGGAUGUCCCACAGACACCAAAACAAUAUGUUCAAAGCUGAACUCACCAUCUCUCUCCAAAUGGCUUCUCCUCCUGUGUUGCUCAGCCUGGUGAGUGGCACCAUCAUCCACUCAUUUACCUAACCAUUCAGUCAACACAAACAAAAUCCCUAAUAGUCAUCUCUAACGUCUCCCGUCUUUCAUCCCCAUCACCAAGUCCUGGUGAUUUUAUCUCCCGUCUCUCUCAAAUCUACUCUCCAUCCACACCAUCCUGCCAGCAUUCCUAGUCCAAGGUUGUUGUUGUUUCUUGUUCAUAUCCUCCUCCUCCUCUUCUUCUUCCUCCUCUUCCUCCUUUCUUCUUCUUCUUCUUUUUUUUUUUUUUUUUUUUUGAGAUGGAGUCUUGCCCUGUCUCCCAGGCUGGAGUGCAAUGGCUCCAUCUCGGCUCACUGCCACCUCUGCCUCCUGGGUUCAAGCAAUUCUCCUGCCUCAGCCUCCUGAGUAGCUGGGAUUACAGGCACCCGCCAUCAUGCCCGGCUAAUUUUUCAUAUCUUUAGUAGAGACGGGGUUUUACCAUGUUGUCCAGGCUGGUCUCCUUUGCUCUGUCUCCCAGGCUGGAGUGCAGUGGCGCAAUCAUGCCUCACUCAAGGACAAACUCCUGGACCCAAGGGAUCCUCCUGCUUCAGCCUCCCAAGGAGUUGGGACUACAGGCAUGCACCACCACACCUGGCUGAUUUAAAAAUUUUUUUCUAGAGACAGAAAAACAUUUGUUUGUUGCCUAGGCUGGUCUCAAACUCCUGGGCUCAAGCGAUCCUCCCACCUCGGCCUCCCAAAGUGCUAGGAGUACAGGCGUGAGCCACCAUGCCCUGCCCAGGGCACCAUCUUCUCGCUACUGCUUCCCUGCAACAGCCUCCUUGCUGGUCUCCCAACUUCCCAAUUCCCUUUCUUCUCUUUAUUCUCCACUGGAGUGGUCUUUCAGAACUGCACAUUUGCUCAUAUCCUUCCACUGCUUGAAAUCCACCAAUGGGCCAGGCACAGUGGCUCACACCUGUAAUCCUAGCAGUUUGGGAGGCCGAGGCGGGUGGAUCACCUGAGGUCAGGGGUUUGAGACCAGCCUGGCCAACAUGGUGAAAACCCAUCUCUACUAAAUAUACAAAAAAUUAGCCAGACGUGGUGGCCGGCACCUGUAAUCCCAGCUACUAGGGAGGCUGAGGCAGGAGAACAGCUUGAGCCCCAGGGGGCAUAGGUUGCAGUGAGCUGAGAUCACACCCCCUCACUCCAGCCUGGGCGAAAGAGCGAAAUUCUGUCUCUAAAUAAAUAAAUAAAUUCACCAAUGGCUCCUCAUAGAUCUCAGGAGAAAGUCUAAAGUUCCCAACAUGGCCUGCAGGGUCCUGCAAGGUCUCCCCUUUGCCUGCCUGUCCAGCCCCAUCUGUUCCCACUCUGCCCUUACUCUUGAUCAUUCUCUCCUGUGCCUGAACUUUUUCUUCAACCCUUAUCCCCUUCUGCCUAACUUUUACUUAUUUGGCAAGUUCCAGCUCAGAAUUCCUUCCUCUGGAAAGCCUUUUCUGACUUCCGAAGACCAGGUUAAAUGUCUAUUACAGAAAGUCAGACACCAUGCCCUGCCUGUUGGUCCACUGCCCCUUCUGUGAUGAGAAUGUGGCCCUGCACUGUUCCCCAGUAGGAGCUCCAUGCAGCCGCCUGAGCCUGCCCCUAUCUGCUUCCAGCUGGUGACCGGACAAGGGAUAGACACUUAAGCCAGAUGCAGUUAAUCCAUAGAUUUGCCAUUUAUAUAAUUUGCCCGCUGCAAAGGUAUUGGAAAAUGUGGGGAAGACGAGGUAGUAUAGAAAGUGAGGUGGGAGUUUGUCUGGAGAGAAGCCAUGAAAUUGAAUAAGGACCCCGAGCCCAGAGGCUGUUGAUUUUUUUUUUUCUUUUUGACCCUCACCCAGGCUGGAGCGCGGCGGCGCCAUCUCCGCUCACUGCAACCUGCUCAUGCGAUCCUCCCGCCUCAGCCUCCCGAGCAGCUGGGAUCACAGGUGCACACCACCACGCCGGGCUAAUUUUCGUAUUUUUAGUAGAGAGGGCAUUUCACCAUGUUGGCCAGGAUGGUCUUGAUCUCUUUUUUCGCUCUUGUUGCCCAGGCUGGAGUUCAAUGGAGUGAUCUCGGCUCAUGGCGACCUCCGCCUCCUGGGUUCAUGUGAUUCUCCUGCCUCAGCCUCCCAAGUAGCUGGGAUUACAGGCAUACACCACCACGCCCAACUAAUUUUGUAUUUUUAGUGGAGACUGGAUUUCUCCAUGUUGAUCAGGCUGGUCUUGAUCUUCCGACCUCAGGUGAUCAGCCUGCUUCGACCUCCCAAAGUGCUGGGAUUACCGGCAUGAGCCACUGCGUCCAGCCUGCUCAUAUUUUAUUUAGGACUUUUGCCUCUAAGUUAGAAAAUAGGAGUGGCUUAUAGAUCUCUUUUGGGGAUCUUUGUCUGUUUUUCUGUUUGUUUGGUUUUAUGAUCAGAGUUUAUGCUAGCCUUGUAAAAUAAAUUGGAAAACUAUAUUCUCUGGAACAGUUAUAGAUAGGGAUUUUCUGUUCUACAUAGAUUGGUGGAGUUCACCUAUAAACCCAUCUGGAGGCUGGGCACGGUGGCUCACGCCUGUAAUCCCA